rnacentral:rRNA from 1 species
AAAUUGAAGAGUUUGAUCAUGGCUCAGAUUGAACGCUGGCGGCAGGCCUAACACAUGCAAGUCGAGCGGUAGCACAGAGAGCUUGCUCUCGGGUGACGAGCGGCGGACGGGUGAGUAAUGUCUGGGAAACUGCCUGAUGGAGGGGGAUAACUACUGGAAACGGUAGCUAAUACCGCAUAAUGUCGCAAGACCAAAGUGGGGGACCUUCGGGCCUCAUGCCAUCAGAUGUGCCCAGAUGGGAUUAGCUAGUAGGUGGGGUAACGGCUCACCUAGGCGACGAUCCCUAGCUGGUCUGAGAGGAUGACCAGCCACACUGGAACUGAGACACGGUCCAGACUCCUACGGGAGGCAGCAGUGGGGAAUAUUGCACAAUGGGCGCAAGCCUGAUGCAGCCAUGCCGCGUGUGUGAAGAAGGCCUUCGGGUUGUAAAGCACUUUCAGCGGGGAGGAAGGCGGUGAGGUUAAUAACCUCAUCGAUUGACGUUACCCGCAGAAGAAGCACCGGCUAACUCCGUGCCAGCAGCCGCGGUAAUACGGAGGGUGCAAGCGUUAAUCGGAAUUACUGGGCGUAAAGCGCACGCAGGCGGUCUGUCAAGUCGGAUGUGAAAUCCCCGGGCUCAACCUGGGAACUGCAUUCGAAACUGGCAGGCUAGAGUCUUGUAGAGGGGGGUAGAAUUCCAGGUGUAGCGGUGAAAUGCGUAGAGAUCUGGAGGAAUACCGGUGGCGAAGGCGGCCCCCUGGACAAAAACUGACGCUCAGGUGCGAAAGCGUGGGGAGCAAACAGGAUUAGAUACCCUGGUAGUCCACGCCGUAAACGAUGUCGAUUUGGAGGUUGUGCCCUUGAGGCGUGGCUUCCGGAGCUAACGCGUUAAAUCGACCGCCUGGGGAGUACGGCCGCAAGGUUAAAACUCAAAUGAAUUGACGGGGGCCCGCACAAGCGGUGGAGCAUGUGGUUUAAUUCGAUGCAACGCGAAGAACCUUACCUGGUCUUGACAUCCACAGAACUUUCCAGAGAUGGAUUGGUGCCUUCGGGAACUGUGAGACAGGUGCUGCAUGGCUGUCGUCAGCUCGUGUUGUGAAAUGUUGGGUUAAGUCCCGCAACGAGCGCAACCCUUAUCCUUUGUUGCCAGCGGUCCGGCCGGGAACUCAAAGGAGACUGCCAGUGAUAAACUGGAGGAAGGUGGGGAUGACGUCAAGUCAUCAUGGCCCUUACGACCAGGGCUACACACGUGCUACAAUGGCAUAUACAAAGAGAAGCGACCUCGCGAGAGCAAGCGGACCUCAUAAAGUAUGUCGUAGUCCGGAUUGGAGUCUGCAACUCGACUCCAUGAAGUCGGAAUCGCUAGUAAUCGUAGAUCAGAAUGCUACGGUGAAUACGUUCCCGGGCCUUGUACACACCGCCCGUCACACCAUGGGAGUGGGUUGCAAAAGAAGUAGGUAGCUUAACCUUCGGGAGGGCGCUUACCACUUUGUGAUUCAUGACUGGGGUGAAGUCGUAACAAGGUAACCGUAGGGGAACCUGCGGUUGGAUCACCUCCUUACCUUAAAGAA